AUGAACGCUGGCGGCGUGCUUAACACAUGCAAGUCGAGCGAAGCACUUAGGAAAGAUUCUUCGGAUGAUUUCCUAUUUGACUGAGCGGCGGACGGGUGAGUAACGCGUGGGUAACCUGCCUCAUACAGGGGGAUAACAGUUAGAAAUGACUGCUAAUACCGCAUAAGACCACAGCACCGCAUGGUGCAGGGGUAAAAACUCCGGUGGUAUGAGAUGGACCCGCGUCUGAUUAGUUAGUUGGUGGGGUAACGGCCUACCAAGGCGACGAUCAGUAGCCGACCUGAGAGGGUGACCGGCCACAUUGGGACUGAGACACGGCCCAAACUCCUACGGGAGGCAGCAGUGGGGAAUAUUGCACAAUGGGGGAAACCCUGAUGCAGCGACGCCGCGUGAGCGAAGAAGUAUUUCGGUAUGUAAAGCUCUAUCAGCAGGGAAGAAAAUGACGGUACCUGACUAAGAAGCCCCGGCUAACUACGUGCCAGCAGCCGCGGUAAUACGUAGGGGGCAAGCGUUAUCCGGAUUUACUGGGUGUAAAGGGAGCGUAGACGGAGCAGCAAGUCUGAUGUGAAAACCCGGGGCUCAACCCCGGGACUGCAUUGGAAACUGUUGAUCUGGAGUGCCGGAGAGGUAAGCGGAAUUCCUAGUGUAGCGGUGAAAUGCGUAGAGAUCUGGAGGAAUACCGGUGGCGAAGGCGGCCCCCUGGACGAAGACUGACGCUCAGGUGCGAAAGCGUGGGGAGCAAACAGGAUUAGAUACCCUGGUAGUCCACACCGUAAACGAUGGAUACUAGGUGUAGGGGAUAUUAAGUCUUCUGUGCCGUCGCAAACGCAGUAAGUAUCCCACCUGGGGAGUACGGCCGCAAGGUUGAAACUCAAAGGAAUUGACGGGGGCCCGCACAAGCAGUGGAGUAUGUGGUUUAAUUCGACGCAACGCGAAGAACCUUACCAAGGCUUGACAUCCCCUGACGUAUGUAGAGAUACAUAUUUCCUUCGGGACAGGGAGACAGGUGGUGCAUGGUUGUCGUCAGCUCGUGUCGUGAGAUGUUGGGUUAAGUCCCGCAACGAGCGCAACCCCUAUCUUCAGUAGCCAGCGGUAAGGCCGGGCACUCUGGAGAGACUGCCAGGGAUAACCUGGAGGAAGGUGGGGAUGACGUCAAAUCAUCAUGCCCCUUAUGACUUGGGCUACACACGUGCUACAAUGGCGUAAACAAAGGGAAGCGAACCCGCGAGGGUGGGCAAAUCCCAAAAAUAACGUCUCAGUUCGGAUUGUAGUCUGCAACUCGACUACAUGAAGCUGGAAUCGCUAGUAAUCGCGAAUCAGAAUGUCGCGGUGAAUACGUUCCCGGGUCUUGUACACACCGCCCGUCACACCAUGGGAGUCAGUAACGCCCGAAGUCAGUGACCCAACCGUAAGGAGGGAGCUGCCGAAGGUGGGACCGAUAACUGGGGUG
rnacentral:rRNA from 1 species